UUUCCAUUCAGUAGUCCCGGACGAAUUUAAAACAUAACGUACGGUUUGGACAUAAUGGAGAAAUAGAACAUUACUCUUUUUGCAGCGAAGCUGAAAACUAUUUUCGUUUUGCUAGCCAUAAGUGUAAAACAAUU
rnacentral:sRNA from 14 species